ensembl:snoRNA SNORD27 Small nucleolar RNA SNORD27
AUUCUGUGAUGAAUGUAAAAUGACAAGCAUAUGGCUGAGUUUUAAGUGAUGUCAUCUUACUACUGAGAAA